UACGUAGGGCGCAAGCGUUAUCCGGAAUUAUUGGGCGUAAAGAGCUCGUAGGCGGUUUGUCGCGUCUGCCGUGAAAGUCCGGGGCUCAACUCCGGAUCUGCGGUGGGUACGGGCAGACUAGAGUGAUGUAGGGGAGACUGGAAUCCUGGUGUAGCGGUGAAAUGCGCAGAUAUCAGGAGGAACACCGAUGGCGAAGGCAGGUCUCUGGGCAUUAACUGACGCUGAGGAGCGAAAGCAUGGGGAGCGAACAGG
rnacentral:rRNA from 1 species